rnacentral:ncRNA from 1 species
GUUCGUCUUCGAAUGGACGAACGCUUCAUUGGAGCAGAUAUGAUUUACUGGGAAAAUCCACUUGUAUAGCUGAGGUAAUUCUGGUGCUAAUGCAUGCGACUAAACGGCGACUCUUGAAAAGGUGCAAUUAUCGGAGUAAAUCAAUCAUUUUCGGAUGUACCACCAUUCUACGAGUGUUAUAGUAAAACGGUCAUCAUAGAAUAAUAAAAGAGAACUUCGGUUCUAUUUAUUGGCUUGGGACCUGAAAUAAUGGUAAAGAGGGACAAUUCGGCGAGAUCUGUAUCCCUGCACGGGAGGAGAAAUUCGUGAACAGCAGGGAGACGGCCUAAAGCGAAUUCAUUUGUCAGAAAUGCAUUCAUUGAACAAGAGCGAAAGUCAGAGGUACGAAGACAAUUAGAUGCCGCAUUAGUUCUAAUCGCAUAUUGUGCAAUCUAACAAUUCGAUGGGUAUUGCUGUUCUGUAGAGGUGGUCAACGGAAACGAAAAUAUUUCGGAU